GUGGGGAAUAUUGGACAAUGGGCGAAAGCCUGAUCCAGCCAUGCCGCGUGUGUGAAGAAGGUCUUCGGAUUGUAAAGCACUUUAAGUUGAGAGGAAGGGCAGUAAGUUAAUACCUUGCUGUUUUGACGUUACCAACAGAAUAAGCACCGGCUAACUUCGUGCCAGCAGCCGCGGUAAUACGAAGGGUGCAAGCGUUAAUCGGAAUUACUGGGCGUAAAGCGCGCGUAGGUGGUUCAGCAAGUUGAAGGUGAAAUCCCCGGGCUCAACCUGGGAACUGCCUCCAAAACUACUGAGCUAGAGUACGGUAGAGGGUAGUGGAAUUUCCUGUGUAGCGGUGAAAUGCGUAGAUAUAGGAAGGAACACCAGUGGCGAAGGCGACUACCUGGACUGAUACUGACACUGAGGUGCGAAAGCGUGGGGAGCAAACAGGAUUAGAUACCCUAGUAGUCC
rnacentral:rRNA from 1 species